GACGAACGCUGGCGGCGUGCUUAACACAUGCAAGUCGAACGAUGAAGCUAGAGCUUGCUCUGGUGAAUUAGUGGCGAACGGGUGAGUAACACGUGAGUAACCUGCCCCGAACUCUGGGAUAACUGCUGGAAACGGUAGCUAAUACUGGAUACGACCUACGAAGGCAUCUUCUGUAGGUGGAAAGAAUUUCGGUUCGGGAUGGACUCGCGGCCUAUCAGCUUGUUGGUGAGGUAAUGGCUCACCAAGGCGACGACGGGUAGCCGGCCUGAGAGGGUGACCGGCCACACUGGGACUGAGACACGGCCCGGACUCCUACGGGAGGCAGCAGUGGGGAAUAUUGCACGGUGGGCGCAAGCCUGAUCCAGCAACGCCGCGUGAGGGAUGACGGCCUUCGGGUUGUAAACCUCUUUUAGUAGGGAAGAAGCGAAAGUGACGGUACCUGCAGAAAAAGCACCGGCUAACUACGUGCCAGCCGCCGCCGUAA
rnacentral:rRNA from 1 species